UCCUUUCUCUCUGAGGCUUCUCUCUCAGCUUCCCAGGAGAAAAAUCUUGGGCAAAGGGAUUUUUCAGAGAAUCUCUGUGUCUCUGUGUCAUUUUCAAAGAGAGAAAUCUUCUAUAUCACUUACAAAAAAGGAUUUUGGACUUGGAAAAAAGAAAGUACUUGAGGUGUCACACCAUCAGCAAGUGCUCAUGGUCUGCAAACAGGCAAGCAAUUUAUUUUUACCUUCUGAGGGCAAGAUGGGGACUGAAAGCAGAAGACAUGGUUAUAAUUGUGUUGGAAGAAGAAAUUUGCCUGCUGGAACCAAAUCCCAGAAAUUAAAGCAAAAGGAAAGACAGUAACCUUGCUAUUUUCUUCAAGAUAGAAGACAUUACUAUUAAAAAAAUAAAUUGAGAGAUUAUUUGAAAUACUUGUUCUGAAAACAAAAUGACCAUAACUUCUUUUAAAAUGUAUUGUUCCAAUAAAUGAUCACAUCAGGAAAAACUAUAUCCAUGUCAGGAUAAUUAUAUCAAAAUGAAUGACAAGACCGCAUUUGAAAAUCCUUUGUUGUUACUGCUAAACUGAAAGUAAUUUUAAAAUGUAGAGUUUUGUACUGCUGACCUCUCUCUUCUCUCAACUUCUCUUGCACUUUUGAAAUAAAAAUACUGUGGAAAACAUCAGUCACAUGAAAAAGUCCAACACUUUUCUGAGAACAGCAUCUGCUGAUUUUAUUUUUUGGUUACUAGACUGCUUACAGCUGGUGAUGACACCAUAUAUCAGCUGUAAAAUUUGCUUUCAUUGGUGUCAAAUGCAAAGCCUUGUUAAUUGAGGCUGGGAUGUACUGGGUAGUUUAUGUGUGCUUAUCUUUUUAUCAAUAUAUUUUUGUAUAAUAGCUCUCAGCACCUGUAUAACUUCAUUAACAUCAACUGAGCCAUGUCUUAUUAAUGCCAGCACAAGUGCAGGUAACAGCAUAUUCUAAAAACACUGUUGCAGUGCCAAACAAAUGUUACUGGCAGUUUUUCUCUUCAUUUUGUUGAUAGCCUUUUCAUCCAAUAGCUCUGAAUUUUUUACCAGCAUCUUAUUAAGUCCUUGUGGUGCCACAAACUGUUUUGCGUAUGUUUUGAUCAAACUUGCUGUACUCUAGUCUACUCUGUUCUACGCCUUGUAUAAUGAAGUGAUUUCUCAAACAGUUGGGCCUGCUACAGCGAUGACCUCUUGUGAUGCCAAUCAUUGUGCAAGCACCUUCUGCUUACACUUAAAAAGAUUUGUGAUUUUUGCAUCUUGGAAGUAGGUUGCCUGUAGGCAAUUUUGUGCAUUUUAAUGCAGUGUCCAGUGACAGCCACUAAAGGCUGAUUGGUUCCUCACAAACAAGAAUUCUCCCUGCAAUCAUUUGGUCUGAAUAAUUCAGGCUCUAGAAGAUCCUCCAAUUACUGCUUUUUACACUAUUAAUGAAUUACUUCUGUGGACCAAGUUUUGAAGACAUCUAUGAUUUUAACACACAUUAGUCUUCUAUGAAAGGCAUAUUUUUAUCAAUAGUAGUAUAUGAAACUGAGUGGCAUUAAUGACUUACAUUUUGAUGAAACUAAGUAUUAGUUUCAUCAAAAAAUCUGACAAGACUUAACAUCUGUGCUUUAAUUCAUGUAAAAAAUCUGCAAAACUUCCUCCAAAAGAAGUAUUUCUGGAGACAAGUGAUUUAAAGCAUGGAACACAUGGCAUUUCGCAAGGACAAUUAAAAACUAUAAAUUAAGGGUGAAUUAUGACUUCUGAA